GAUAAACGCUGGCGGCGUGCCUAAAACAUGCAAGUCGAACGGUCGCAUAUCUUCGGAUGUGUGGCAGUGGCGAACGGCUGAGUAACACGUGGGUGACCUGCCCUGGAGCGGGGGAUAACUGCCCGAAAGGGUGGCUAAUACCGCAGACAUCGUGGAUUCGGUUCUACGAUUGAACCCUUUGGGGGUUCUGGGAGGGGCCCGCGGCCGAUUAGCUUGCUGGUGGGGUAAUGGCCUACCAGGGCAUCGAUCGGUAGCUGGUCUGAGAGGAUGAUCAGCCAGACUGGGACUGCGAACGGCCCAGACUCCUACGGGAGGCAGCAGUUAGGAAUUUUGGGCAAUGGGCGCAAGCCUGACCCAGCAACGCCGCGUGGGUGAUGAA
rnacentral:rRNA from 1 species